rnacentral:rRNA from 1 species
AGUUUGAUUCUGGCUCAGGAUAAACGCUGGCGGCGUGCCUAACACAUGCAAGUCGAACGUCCUACGCAAGUAGGGAGUGGCGGACGGGUGAGGAACACGUGGGUUAUCUGCCCUUGGGUGAGGAAUACCGGCGAGAAAUCGCCGACAAUACCGCAUAUGCUCGGAAGAGCAAAGCCAGCAAUGGCGCCCGAGGAUGAGCCUGCGCUCGAUUAGUUGGUUGGUGGGGUAAUGGCCUACCAAGACCGCGAUCGAUAGCUGGUCUGAGAGGACGAUCAGCCACACUGGGAUUGAGAACGGCCCAGACUCCUACGGGGGCAGCAGUGAGGAAUUUUCGUCAAUGGGGGCAACCCUGAAACGAGCAACGCCGCGUGCAGGAAGAAGGUUUUCGGAUCGUAAACUGCUUUUCUCUGGGACGAGAACGGACGGUACCAGAGGAAUCAGCCCCGGCUAACUACGUGCCAGCAGCUGC